UGGUCUCCUUUGCUGUGUGGCUUCUACCACGUGACCCAGUACAGUGGCUGCAGUUCCAGUGAUCACAACUGUUGCCAUGAGCAGAGAGGAAGAGGCAAAUAGGAGCGCAGGGGACUGCCCCUGUCCCAGCACCUCUCCGACCCCAUGGAAGAACCUGGGGCAGCACACGGGCCAGGACAUCUGGGAAAUCGGUCACCACUGUCCCAAGUCAGAACCACCUGGAGGGCGGACUCGGACUGAGGGGAGCCUUGAGUCGGCAUUCAGGGUCCCAGCCGGCGUGCGGAUCCCCAGCCACAACCCUUAGGUCAGCCAAGUCCUGCUGCCCGCUGCCUCCUGCUUCUCCGCCUGCCCCUGUCCUCGGGGCCUCUGCUGGGCUCCAGCACCCGCUCCUAUCCCGGGAGACCCCUUGCCGGCCACAGGGAGCACCGAGUCCUCUCCGCCGCCUCCCCUGGGCUUCCGGAGCCUUCCAUCACCCUCUAUUUAUAGCUCCAGUCAGGUGCCCGGACGCUGCCGGGAGGGACAGGAGAGCAGGUUCUGUGACCGUGGGGAAGGACUGGGAUUUUCCAGGACGGCGCCCUGGCUGUAUCACCCCACGUCUCCGUGUGCCCCUCGGCCGCCUGUCCCUGCUUGUGGGGACCCGAGCUGGGGGCCUGGGUUAGUGGGCUCUGAGUGGGCGGGGGCCGGGCUGGGCCCCGGGAGCAGUGUGCUGUGACUCUGGAGCCUGCAGCCUCCAGAGAGCCGAGCCCAGAGCAGCGGCCGCGUCCCCAACCCAAGGUCACUGUGCCUCCCCGGGCCCACCGCACCCACUACGCUAUACCCCACUUUCAGACCUGGGUGCCUGCUCUCCACCGCCCUCUUCCCUCCUGUGGCACCCUGGACCCUCCAACCACAGGGAGGCCGGAGCAGGGCUUAACCCCGGACCAGCGCCUUCCUGCUGCUGUGGGCUAUGAACCCCAGACGGCCGGGCUGUGACCUCAGCACGGUCCUGAGCCUCUCUGAGCUGCUGACCUCGGCCACCGACUCCAGUCUGAGGCUCUGAGAGACCCGAGGGGCACAGCUAGGCCCCCGGCCCCCGGCUCGAGGGCCCCUGAUGCUGGUGGACAAGGCCAGGCUGCAGGGUGGGGUCGCCAGCAGCCAUGGGUACUUCCUCCGUGGGUCUCAGCUUCCCCAGCCACGAGAAUGACAGCAGCCCCCUCAGCCACCAGGAGGCUGUGUGAGCCCAGGAGGCCCGGCACACUGGGGUGUUGGGGGACCUGGGCCAGGCCUCCACUCCCAGACUCCCAGGGCGCUGGGCACGGGAGGCUGGGUGGUCAUGGGGUGGGGCCUCCCCAGCCCUCUGCCCGGGUCCCCAGCUGCAGCCCUGGAGUUGCCGCUCAGGACCUAGGAGGUGCAGGGCCUGGAGGUGGCCGAGGCUGUGACCCUCACAGGCCAGCCCACGCCAGCAGAUAAACACAGGGCCAGAUGGGCAGCAUGGCCAGAGGGGACAAGAUGGACAGGCGGGAGGAAGGGGCGGCGCCUGGGAGCAGCCCUGGGGACACUCGCCCCGGCUCUCCAUCUGAACUGCCCAGGAGCAGCUGCCCCACCCCUGCUGCCUUUCUGCGCGGCCCCUCUGGCUCCCACUGCCCUCGACAGCUGCUUCCCGGGGCUUGGAAUCUGGCUUUCCAUGUCCCACACAGUCCUGAAGCUGCUAGCAUGGGGGCUGGGGUUCGAGGACCGCCGUCCAUGUACUCAGACCGAGGUGCCCACUCCCCAACUCUCUGUCCCGGUGACCCCAAGCCUCGAGCAGGGUCCCUCCAUCAAGUCAGGCCAGGUGCCUCCCGAGGCUGAACCUGGCCUGCAGUUGGCAGUUCCAGCCCACAGCUGCGGUCCCGGUGUCCCGGCUGCAGGAGUGAGCCCUUCACUCACCUGUCACCUUCACCUCCUGGCUCCAGGAGGUCUCAGGGACACGCUACCUGCUGAGCACCUAGGGAGCCAGGCCCAGCAGACCCCAGCCCCUUCGGGGAGGCGGGCUGUGGGAUGCGCUCGUCUGGGGGCCUCUGUUCUCAUACGCUCAGUUGUUAAACUGCCAAGGCCACGGGGGAGGAGCCCAGGCCCUGACUACUUUGCUGUGGCUGCGUCUUUACCUCUCUCGGGCAUGGGGCCUGCGGCCCAGGACUGGCACAGGCUGCAUCCCCGGCAGGACCCGAGGUGGUGAACGGGACCUCUGAACCUCCACGGAGCCCGACCUGUGCAUUGAGGGGAAGUGGAGAGCACGUGCGGGCCUGGGAGGUGGCCUGGCCGUGUGGCUGGAGCUGCCGCCCACCCAGGCGCCCUUGGGUGCAGCUGGGUGCAGAGGGCAGGAGGGCAGCAGGAGGACUGAGGUCGCUGGCACCAGCCGCAGUGAGCGGCUCAGCCAGGGACGCAGUGUGCAGGGCACCAAACCUGGACCCUCCGGGGACAGAGCAGUGCCCUGUGAGCUCGCGCCGCGUAUGGGAGGGCUGUCAGCGAGCAAGGCCGAACACAAUGCAGCUGAGCACCUGGCCGUCCUUGGAGACGUGGGAAUUUGUAGUUGGGGGCUACAGGUGAGAAUCCAGGAGCCUGGCUCUGAGCACAGCAACCAGGCAACAGCAGGGAGCGGCUGCAACCCAGGAGGCCGGCCUCACUAGGGCCGGACACCAGUCCCUGUCCUUGGGCCGGCGGGCGGGCGCCAUCUGCCUGUCCGCCUCCCCGGCCUGCACUUUGUCCCCGCAGAACCCCGUGUCCCCGGGCUGUCCUCACGCCCACGUCACCUGCGCGGCCCAGAAUCCCUUGGAACCAGCCUGCCACCCGCAAAGGAUGCUGGCAUGCAGGGGCGGCAGGAUGGAGGCCUAGGAGCGCCAUCUGCCCAGCCGCCGAGACAGGAGGGUCGCGACGCAGCGGGAGGAGGAGCACGGGCAGGACCGGGUGGGUUGGGGGCGGCGCCCGGGAGCUUCUGUUCUCUAGGCUUCCGCGGGGCUUCUGCAGCAGCUCAGCUAGUUUCGCAAUAGCAGGAAAAAGCGACCCUCGCUUUAGGGAGAAGCAGUGUUCUCGCAGGAUCCGGAGAGGAGCCCCUGGCCAAACCAGAUCCACGGACCGGAAGUGAGAGCCGGGUUUAGGGCAGAGCGGGCGACCCCCCCCCCGGCCCCCCGGAGCGCCCGUGUGGGCGCCGGACGCAGGCGGAGCAGGUGUCCAUUCGGAGCCAGGCUCACACCCUCGAGGCUGGGCCUCCGUAACUGGGCCCAGGGCACAGCAAGGGCGACUUCCAGGGAGCAGGGCCCUGCCCCACGCCCGUCUCCGCCCGCGGGUCCCCUGCCCGCCAGCGACCGGGAGCCUUCCGUGGGGCGGGCGCCCCCUAGUGGCCUCCUGCGGAAAUGCACCCCGGUCUGAACCCAGCUGUGCCGCGCUGAGCUGCGCCUCCUGGAACUGUGGGUGUGGACAGGAGGUGCCAGGCCCCACACAGCUGCAGGGGCCGGGCUGCUACUCCCACCCGCCAGUAUUCCCCUGGAAGUGAGACCACAUCUGAAACUUCAUCACCACCAGUUGGCAGAGUCCUGCUCUUCAGCUUAGACUGACCUGGAAGUCCCUAUGUAGCCCAGGUUGGCCUCAAACUGGAGAUCCUCUUGCCUCAGCCUCCUGAGUACAGGGAUCACAGCAGCCACAGAGCUGAGCAGAGCCAAGUCCUUGGAGCCGCGCAGGGCAGUGACAGCAUCCCACAGAGGGGCACAGGGAGGCCGAGGACACGGCAGCAGGCCCACCGAGGGACGCCACCCCGUCCCCAGGAUACGGCCGGCCACAUUCGGACGGUGCUGGCAGUGCCAGGCCCGCCGGCUCCCUGUGCCAGCCGCUGCACCACACAGCCUCCCUGGGGGGCCCACCCACCACAGCCCCCACGGGGCAUGGGGCGCCUGGAAAAUGGAUCUCAGGGACAGAGAGCAGGUUCUGCACCUUCGGGUUACGGGCAGUUCUUACCUUUUGCUUUGUGGCUGUUUCCCUGGUAUUUGACAAGAAGUGUUCUUUUCGAGAAAAAAUG
rnacentral:lncRNA from 1 species